rnacentral:rRNA from 1 species
GACGAACGCUGGCGGCGUGCUUAACACAUGCAAGUCGAGCGGAGCGGCGAACGGGUGAGUAACGCGUGAGUAACUGCCCCCCUCUCCGGGAUAACAGUUGGAAACGGCUGCUCAUACCGGAAAGUGGGGGAUGAUUCGCGUUCUAUCAGCUUGUUGGUGGGGUAUUGGCCUACCAAGGCGACGACGGGUAGCCGGCCUGAGGGGGUGAUCGGCCACAUUGGGCUGAGAUACGGCCCAGACUGCUACGGGAGGCAGCGGAGGAGAAUAUUGCAGAAUAGGGGAAACCCUGAUGCAGCAACGCGCGUGCGGGAUGACGGCCUUCGGGUUGUAAACCGCUUUCAGCCAAAACGCGGUAGUGGCAGAAGAAGCACCGGCUAACUACGUGCCAGCAGCCGCGGUAAUUC